UACGAAGGGGGCUAGCGUUGUUCGGAAUUACUGGGCGUAAAGCGCACGUAGGCGGGUCGUAAGUAGAGGGUGAAAUCCCAGGGCUCAACCCUGGAACUGCCUUCUAGACUGCAGGCCUCGAGGUCAGGAGAGGCGAGUGGAAUACCGAGUGUAGAGGUGAAAUUCGUAGAUAUUCGGUGGAACACCAGUGGCGAAGGCGACUCGCUGGGCUGACACUGACGCUGGAAGUGCGAAAGCUAGGGGAGCGAACGGG
rnacentral:rRNA from 1 species